CAACUUUCAACAAUGGAUCUCUUGGUUUUGGCAUCGAUGAAGAACGCAGCGAAAUGCGAUAAGUAGUGUGAAUUGCAGAAUUCAGUGAAUCAUCGAAUCUUUGAACGCACAUUGCGCCCCUUGGUAUUCCAUGGGGCAUGCCUGUUCGAGCGUCAUUU
rnacentral:rRNA from 1 species